UAAUAAUUUAUCGACAAAAAAGGAUACGGUCGCCUCAUUCCUUCACUACUCUACUACACAAACAUUUUUUUUUCUUUCCUAACAUGAGUAGAAGAAGUAAACCAAGGCCGACAGACUGUAGAAAAUAAUUUAGAGUUCAUAGCCACAGUCUAAGGCAUAGUUGACAAGGGCUUUGAACUCGUGAUCAUUAGAAAUGAGGCCGUCCUGAUUGGCAUCUGCAUAGCUUAAAGCUCUCCAAGCUCUGAAAGUGCUCCAACGCGACCCAAGUUUAUCGAAGGCUGCCUUCAACUCAUGCUUGGAAAGCUGCCCGUCCUUGGCAAAACUUUUGAACACUUCCACCACCAUCUCCCUGCGCCAUGGAACAUGAGCCUCCUUAAACUUAACCUCUUCCCUAAUGGAAACCUGAGGAACCAUGCCCCUAAUCAUAAUAUAUUUACUUGAAAUUAAUUGUUCUAGACACUAGAAGAAAGGC
rnacentral:lncRNA from 1 species